rnacentral:misc_RNA from 1 species
AGAUCGCUUGACGAGAUCGGCGACCAUACGGAACCUCCGCCGUGGAUUCUUGACGAUGGAGACCGCUUUUCUCCAUCUCUGCAAGGCUUCCUCUGAUGGAUUCUUGUGCGGCACUUCAAAGUCCUUCAAAAGGUUCUCCAUUCUGCUUGGGACUGCAAGUCUGUAUGUGAAACUUCAGCUGAGGAGGCCAAUAGUAGUGCUAAGACUCUGUUUGGUAAGAGGGAAAUGAGAGGAAAGGAAAGAGAAAGGAGAAGAAAAUUAAGCUACAAGUACUGUUGCAUAGAUGGAAGGAAGGAGAUGGGAGUACUGUUGCAUAGAUGGAAGGAAGGAGAUGGGAGUACUGUUGCAUAGACGGAAGGAAGGAGAUGGGUUUAGG